UACGUAGGGCGCAAGCGUUGUCCGGAUUUAUUGGGCGUAAAGGGCUCGUAGGCGGUUCGACAAGUCGGGUGUGAAACCUCCAGGCUCAACCUGGAGUCGCCACUCGAAACUGUUGUGACUAGAGUCCGGUAGGGGAGCAUGGAAUUCCUGGUGUAGCGGUGGAAUGCGCAGAUAUCAGGAGGAACACCAGUGGCGAAGGCGAUGCUCUGGGCCGGUACUGACGCUGAGGAGCGAAAGCAUGGGGAGCGAACAGG
rnacentral:rRNA from 1 species